rnacentral:rRNA from 1 species
UACGUAGGGUGCAAGCGUUGUCCGGAAUUAUUGGGCGUAAAGAGCGUGUAGGCGGCCCGAUUAGUCCGCUGUGAAAGUCCAGGGCUCAACCCUGGAAUGCCGGUGGAUACUGUCGGGCUAGAGUCCGGAAGGGGCGAGUGGAAUUCCCGGUGUAGCGGUGAAAUGCGCAGAUAUCGGGAGGAACACCAAUGGCGAAGGCAGCUCGCUGGGACGGUACUGACGCUGAGACGCGAAAGCGUGGGGAGCAAACAGG